GGGAAAGUGAAAGGUGGGGCGUUGAAAUGAAAAGACAAAAGACUGUUCAACGGGAAAGAUGUAGUACUUAGUACUGCGCCGUUAGACGUUUUAGCCAUCGUGGAUUGAUGAAUAGCGUUUUUCUGAAAUCAACAGUCUUCAAAAUUCAAUCUGCUUGAAGUUAUUAUUGAAGAUAACGGCUAUGGAAGGUCAUGACAAGAAAAUGACUGGUGAGUUGAAUUUCAACUCUGUAAAUGAUUUAAGCGCUUUCGGGAGCAGAAGCUUUUCGGAUCGAGCUGAAGAUGAUAUGGACGUGUCUGCGGAAAUGGCAGUCUAUGACUUCAGCUUCUCGAAACAGGAAAAUAUUUUGCCAUUAAUGAACUUAUACAUGAGUGAACGAGAAUCUUACAAUCAAUUGUUGAACAAACAAAAGGAGAAUCCCAAUCACAACUUGCAUGUUGAGCUCCAAAGCAAGAAAAGACUUUUAGAGUUUGUUUCACAUGCUAUAACAAAAGCAGUAGCCAAAGACCCUUGCUUUGCAUGUCGAUCGAUUGAAGAAAAAGAACUUCAGAAGCAAGUUACGGCUUUCAUUCCUUAAAUCAAGAAGGAACCUGACAAACAUUCCCAUUUGUUUGAUAAUCAUUAUUCCCCUUAAAUUCAUUUUCUAAAAUAUCCAGAUGCUGUGCUUUCAAUAACUGUGUCACAUUUUUGCUCAAAGCUGAAUUAGUUUUGCGUGGAUUUUCUUUUCUGUUAAUGCAAUUUCACUUUCAAUUUCUUUUACUCUUUGUUGAACUGCAUAUUUUGUCUACUUUUAGACAGAAAUUACACAGGCCUACAUUUUUUUUCUUCAUGAAAAAAGUGUUUCAAAUUUAAUAAGUGCUGUAUAGUAAAUGGGGUGUGCUGAUCACAAAUCGGAGGUUAGUUUUUUUCCAGCAUGUCAGGUUUUCAAGAAAAGUGUUUUUUGAAAUUUUUCAUAGAAACUGCCAAAAAUACUGAGAGAAUAUUUAUUAGAAAAUUAAUACAAAAUUGAGCUGUGCAUAAAAAAAAUAAUGCAGU